rnacentral:lncRNA from 1 species
UAAAAACCUGUUUUUUCGCUUUGUCAUUAUGGGGUAUUGUGUGUAGAUUGAUGAGGAUGUUUUAUUUUUUUUUACAUUUUAGAAAGUCUGGAAAAAGUCAAGGGGUCUGAAUACUUUCCAAAUGCACUGUACAUCUUACAAAGUGAAGGUGAUCAGGGAGGCAGAGACCCUGACUCCCACACCCCUAUUACAGCGGCUGCUGAGGUCUGCCAGGGACCAGCAAGAGGGGCAAGCAUCCGAUGACCAUCCAGUGGGACAGGGACAUGUCUUCCCUCCUACUCCUUUGAACAUCCUAUCAUCAAAGCCCGCUGGUAGGAAGAAAACACAGAAGAUCAGCACAGCUCAGGCCAUUGACCAUCUCAUUGUGUUUCACAAGGAGCCUGGAUGAGUACCUGGGACGGAGGGAAGACGGCAGCCAUACCUACUUGCCUCUGGAACCAGCAAGCAGGCCAUCAGUAACUCAUCAUCAUCAUCUGUUGCUAGGGACUCUUUUGGAAGAAGCUAGCUAGCUAACGAAGAACAACAAAGAAUAUCUAGUUAACAGAAGAAAAGAAAGAGAAAAUCAGGACAGAAGAAAAAGGAUAUCAAAGUGAAACAGUUCUCUAAAGACACAGGAGACAAUAAUACAAGAAACAACACUUCUGUAGCUUGUCAACUAUGUGUCUGUCUAUCCCUGUUCUCUCCUC